rnacentral:rRNA from 1 species
AUUGAACGCUGGCGGCAGGCCUAACACAUGCUAGUCGAGCGAGCGUCGGACGGGUGAGCAAUGUAGGGGGACUGCCAGAGAGAGGGGGAUAACUACUGGAAACGGUAGCUAAUACCGCAUACUAUCGGAUAACCCAUAUGGGAUUAGCUAGUAGGUGAGGUAAUGGCUCACCUAGGCGACGAUCCCUAGCUGGUCUGAGAGGAUGAUCAGCCACACUGGAACUGAGAUACGGCCCAGACUCCUACGGAGGCAGCAGUGGGGAAUAUUGCACAAUGGGCGCAAGCCUGAUGCAGCCAUGCCGCGUGUAUGAAGAAGGCCCUAGGGUUGUAAAGUACUUUCAGUCGGGAGGCGUUACCGACAGAAGAAGCACCGGCUAACGCCGUGCCAGCCGCCGCGGUAAUAC